rnacentral:rRNA from 1 species
GACGAACGCUGGCGGCGUGCUUAACACAUGCAAGUCGAACGGAAAGGCCCUGCUUUUGUGGGGUGCUCGAGUGGCGAACGGGUGAGUAACACGUGAGUAACCUGCCCUUGACUUUGGGAUAACUUCAGGAAACUGGGGCUAAUACCGGAUAGGAGCUCCUGCUGCAUGGUGGGGGUUGGAAAGUUUCGGCGGUUGGGGAUGGACUCGCGGCUUAUCAGCUUGUUGGUGGGGUAGUGGCUUACCAAGGCUUUGACGGGUAGCCGGCCUGAGAGGGUGACCGGCCAGAUUGGGACUGAGAUAUGGCCCAGACUCCUACGGGAGGCAGCAGUGGGGAAUAUUGCACAAUGGGCGGAAGCCUGAUGCAGCAACGCCGCGUGCGGGAUGACGGCCUUCGGGUUGUAAACCGCUUUCGCCUGUGACGAAGCGUGAGUGACGGUAAUGGGUAAAGAAGCACCGGCUAACUACGUG